rnacentral:rRNA from 1 species
GACGAACGCUGGCGGCGUGCUUUACACAUGCAAGUCGAACGAUGAUGGGGUGCUUGCAUCCUUGAUUAGUGGCGAACGGGUGAGUAACACGUGAGUAACCUGCCCCAGACUCUGGGAUAACUUCGGGAAACCGGAGCUAAUACUGGAUAUGACAUGGCCCUGCAUGGGGUUGUGUGUAAAGGAUUUCUGGUCUGGGAUGGGCUCGCGGCCUAUCAGCUUGUUGGUGGGGUGAUGGCCUACCAAGGCGAUGACGGGUAGCCGGCCUGAGAGGGUGACCGGCCACACUGGGACUGAGACACGGCCCAGACUCCUACGGGAGGCAGCAGUGGGGAAUAUUGCACAAUGGGCGAAAGCCUGAUGCAGCGACGCCGCGUGAGGGAUGACGGCCUUCGGGUUGUAAACCUCUUUCAGUAGGGAAGAAGUAGGGGAGUUUUCUCCUUUGUGACGGUACCUGCAGAAGAAGCGCCGGCUAACUACGUG